GAGAUUGUACGGAAAUUUACUGGUAGAGUUGAACCAACAAAUUCUUAAUUCGUGAUACUUCAGGCAUAGCUAUUUCUCAUUUCUUUUUUUUCAUUUGCUCUGUGGUGGAUUAAAGCAAAUAGUCAUUUAGAUAUUGGAUUACUGACUUUCUGUAUUUUUCUGCAUAUUGCAUGUAAUGUUAGGAUGAUGAUCAUAUUAAUAUUUACCAAUUACUUCUUUUGGCGAACCCUGCGUAUUUGCAUUAUUGUGAUGCUUGAGUUUAUUUGUCAAGUCUGUUUUCCUUCAGUUGGCAGCACCUCUAGAGACAUUGGGGAAAGCUGCAGCUG
rnacentral:misc_RNA from 1 species